rnacentral:rRNA from 1 species
CGGACGGGUGAGUAAUGUCUGGGAAACUGCCUGAUGGAGGGGGAUAACUACUGGAAACGGUAGCUAAUACCGCAUAACGUCGCAAGACCAAAGAGGGGGACCUUCGGGCCUCUUGCCAUCGGAUGUGCCCAGAUGGGAUUAGCUAGUAGGUGGGGUAACGGCUCACCUAGGCGACGAUCCCUAGCUGGUCUGAGAGGAUGACCAGCGACACUGGAACUGAGACACGGUCCAG